GAUGAACGCUGGCGGCGUGCCUAAUACAUGCAAGUCGAGCGAACAGACGAGGAGCUUGCUCCUCUGAUGUUAGCGGCGGACGGGUGAGUAACACGUGGAUAACCUACCUAUAAGACUGGGAUAACUUCGGGAAACCGGAGCUAAUACCGGAUAACAUGUUGAACCGCAUGGUUCAACAGUGAAAGACGGUCUUGCUGUCACUUAUAGAUGGAUCCGCGCCGCAUUAGCUAGUUGGUAAGGUAACGGCUUACCAAGGCAACGAUGCGUAGCCGACCUGAGAGGGUGAUCGGCCACACUGGAACUGAGCCACGGUCCAGACUCCUACGGGAGGCAGCAGUAGGGAAUCUUCCGCAAUGGGCGAAAGCCUGACGGAGCAACGCCGCGUGAGUGAAGAAGGUCUUCGGAUCGUAAAACUCUGUUAUUAGGGAAGAACAAAUGUGUAAGUAACUAUGCACGUCUUGACGGUACCUAAUCAGAAAGCCACGGCUAACUACGUG
rnacentral:rRNA from 1 species